rnacentral:rRNA from 1 species
AGCGGGAAGUAGUUUACUACUUUGCCGGCGAGCGGCGGACGGGUGAGUAAUGUCUGGGAAACUGCCUGAUGGAGGGGGACAACUACUGGAAACGGUAGCUAAUACCGCAUAACGUCUUCGGACCAAAGUGGGGGACCUUCGGGCCUCACGCCAUCGGAUGUGCCCAGAUGGGAUUAGCUAGUAGGUGGGGUAAUGGCUCACCUAGGCGACGAUCCCUAGCUGGUCUGAGAGGAUGACCAGCCACACUGGAACUGAGACACGGUCCAGACUCCUACGGGAGGCAGCAGUGGGGAAUAUUGCACAAUGGGCGCAAGCCUGAUGCAGCCAUGCCGCGUGUGUGAAGAAGGCCUUCGGGUUGUAAAGCACUUUCAGCGAGGAGGAAGGCCAAUAACUUAAUACGUUGUUGGAUUGACGUUACUCGCAGAAGAAGCACCGGCUAACUCCGUGCCAGCAGCCGCGGUAAUACGGAGGGUGCAAGCGUUAAUCGGAAUUACUGGGCGUAAAGCGCACGCAGGCGGUUUGUUAAGUCAGAUGUGAAAUCCCCGCGCUUAACGUGGGAACUGCAUUUGAAACUGGCAAGCUAGAGUCUUGUAGAGGGGGGUAGAAUUCCAGGUGUAGCGGUGAAAUGCGUAGAGAUCUGGAGGAAUACCGGUGGCGAAGGCGGCCCCCUGGACAAAGACUGACGCUCAGGUGCGAAAGCGUGGGGAGCAAACA